rnacentral:rRNA from 1 species
GAUUAACGCUGGCGGCGUGCCUAACACAUGCAAGUCGAGCGGGUGCCAAUCUGUAGCAAUACAGAUGAAGCGCUAGCGGCAGACGGGUGAGUAACACGUAGUCAACCUACCUUUCCGUCCGGGAUAACUAAUCGAAAGGUUAGCUAAUACCUGAUACGAUCGUCGAGCGGCAUCGCUUGACGCUGAAAGCAGUAAUGCGCGGAUCGAGGGGGCUGCGGCCCAUUAGCUAGUUGGUGAGGUAACGGCCCACCAAGGCUACGAUGGGUAGCU